CAGCAGCCCAGCUGUUUGGGUGUGGGGGUGAGGAAAGGCGGGGAGGCUGGUGAAGGAAAAUGCAGGAAAGCAGUUGGGGGAUUCAGAAAUCCAGGGGUCUGUGGAAAAUGUCGGGAAGGGGAUAAGGCCUUCUCCCAGCGCUUCUCCCCAGCCUGGGCGGUUCACAGGGAGAGGAACAAAGCUGUGCGGAGGCUGCAAGGGACUGGAUUCCACCCAGGGCUGGGAGGCCUUGGCGGGGUCCCCUCGCCCAGCGCCGGGGUACACCAGAGGGGAUUUCUCCUGCACUCAGCUGGAGCAAGGGGUUCUAAGCAGAGAUGGAAUUGGAGGCUCAUUGGCCCUGAUGGAUGACCACGGAGAGUCAUGAUAGCUACUGGCAGCAGCAGAGGGAUCCAGGGCCCAGCAAGUAGGGAUGGCCACCUCACCCAAGGAAGAGAGAUGGAUCUCAGUUAAACCAAACAGGAGAUAACUAUGCCUGCUGUAAUUACCACACGGGGAGAGAAGUUCAUGAGCUUGGGGGGCCGUGGGGAGAUAAAGGACACUGGAGAUGCCAGUUACUCUGCCCGACUGGGCAGGGCACUCGGCGCAGGAGGCACGAGCCCACCCCGGAAGGCGCGGGGUUUCCUAAAAGCACCUUUGCACCCUGAAUCUCAGGACACUGACGCGUUGCCUGGGGCUCCUGGCAAGGUGUGUGUGUGGGGGGGCUUGGAGGCGGUCAGCGAGGAGGACGCCGGGAGCCCACGUGGAAGGUCUUCGCUGUGGACCUUCGCUCGGAUGGGAAGUGACACAGAGCACCGGCCUGCAGGAGGGGAGGGGUUCCAGCAGCAGGGAAACAGCCAGAAACAGAAGACUUGACACUGCAUGCCCCGGGCCCCACCCAGAGCCCGGCCCCAAAUGCCAGCAGGACCUCCCCUGAGAUCAAGAAGGACCUCUUGUAAACCCACAACUUCUCUAAUAAAGA
rnacentral:lncRNA from 1 species